UACAUAUGAUGCUUACUGAUGGUUUUAAAUAGAUGCUGCUGAUUAUUUUAAGGAAAAGUCCAUUUAUUCCUAUCCUCUCAAGUGUUUUUAAUAGGAAUGGAUGUUGGAUUUUAUCAAAUGCUUUUUCUGCAUCUAUUGAGAUGAUCAUAUGGUUUUUGUUAAUUUGGUUAUUAACAUGGCCAAUUAUAUUGAUAGUUUUCCUAAUAUUGAACCAGCCCUGCAUUCCUGGUAUAAAUCCUACUUGAUCAUAGUGUAUUAUCUUGGAGAUGAUUUUCUGUAGUCUUUUUGCUAAUAUCUUAUUUAAGAUUUUAGCAUCAAUAUUCAUUAGGGAGAUUGGUCUAUAAUUUUCUUUCUCUGUUUGGCUGAGAAGAUUUUUUUAAAAAAAAUUUAUUCUGGUAUCUCAGUAAUAUUUUAGUUAAUUACCAAAAGUCUGGCUAAUGAUGAAAUGAGGAAGGAUAUUGCUGUGUACGAAUGAUUUAUAGUAUAAAUCUCUAAAGAACAAGAAGUGUUUACAUGUAUGUAACUAUUUGAGGUAAAACACAAUUAUGAUACUUUUAAAGAAAUUUAGCAUAUUUGUAAUUUAUAAACAUAAAUUACAAAUUAAAUCUAUACUGUAUUUUAUUCAUCUUAUUGUUCCCAUUCACAGUAUACAUCGGUAAUUUUAAUUUUCACAUAUAUUUUUCUUAUAUUAAGAGGAAUUCUGAGGUUUGAAAUAGUUUUUUUUUAAAUAAAGUAAUGUGUAACUUAGAGAUUCUGUUUAGCCUACAAUAACCCAAAGUAGGUUAUUUUAAAUUCAAUUUAAAUCUAUUGACAAAAUAAUAUUUUGGUAUAAUCUUAGGAUUUAUAUUGUGCUAAAGAACUGAAUUCUAAAUAUACUGCUACUGUCCACAGAUUUUAAAUUCCUAAUAUUUUUCUUUACUUGUGUAUUCUCUGUAUAGAUUCAAUUUGCCUUUGGGAAUAUCAGGAAUCAGUUCUUACAUAUAAACUAUCAGUAAAUUUUUAAAAUCACAAUGAACACAACUCAUGAGAAAAGUUUAAAAAAGAUAAUUAGUAGACUACAGGAAAAAUUCUCAGAAAGAAGGAAAACUAAAUCCCAGUUAAAGAAUCAAAAAUGGAAUGUGAUAGAGAACUCUAUAGAGGCAGAACGGCCCUUAUGAUUGCUGUCACUAAGGAAUCAACAGGCUUGGUCACUCUUCUUCUUCACCAUAAUGCUGAUCACACUAUUCAAGAUGUGUAUGGAUGGACAGCUGAGCUGUAUGCUAAGCAAUAUGGUUAUCCUCUACUUACUUAUCAUCAACAAAUUGAAAAUCAGAAAGAGUGUAAUAAGCCCAGCACAUCUCAAAUCAGCUGUUCAGAACAAGCCUCUGGGGUUAAAUUUCCUUUGGGUGUACCAUUCCUGCACAAAAAAGGUAGAACUGAAAAACCCAAAUAAAUAGUUACUUAAAAAAAAUAAGAGCAAUCUUAAAAUUCAUACAUACUCUAUUUUUCUAUUUCCAUUUUCUAUUUUAAAACAAUAGGAACUGGUUUAUCUUUGGUUAAUGAAUUAAUUACCAAGUUGAGGUCUACUACCCUGGAAGUGCAAAAACAAUGUUUGUGUUACUUUUAUCUGCUUUAUCUCCCCCAAAAUGUUAGGCUAAACUAUCAAUUUUCUGAUUUAUAAAUUAUUGUACAAAUGUCUAACCAAAUUAUUCUACAUAUGUUAAACCAAAAUAACCAAAUGAUUUAACCCAAAGUGAAAAUUCUUUACCACUUAAAAUAUUAAGUGUAACAUUAGGUAAUAUGAUGGUUUUUAUGCUUCAAUGUGGGCUAAAUAAAUAAUGCCAUUACUUAUGAUUUAAUAUAAAUAGAAAGACUGAUUGAUAGAUAAAACAAUCAAACAGCAGAAGAGGAGAAUCUUCAUUCUUUUUUGGCAUUCUCUAAAUCACUUAUCCAAGCUUUGGAAACACAUUUUAAAUGUUUUCAAAAUUUUACAAUGUUCAUAAAGCUUUCUCUCAAUACAAACUAAUGAAAAUGAAAAAGUCAUAAUAAUUGGGACCAGGGUAAUUGAAAGGUAAUUCAUACGAUCGUACUUUUUCUGCGGAUAUUUGCAUACAUGCCCACCUCCAACUUGAUCCUAAGAAAACUUUGCACUCUUCUGAUUCAGAUAGUUAAACUUUAGAAGAGAGAGCAUUUUCUAGUUGAGCUUCUAACACUUUAACCUGCUAACUGGGCCAUUUGAUAACUUAAUAACCUAGGCUUGCAAUAAUAAAUUCAUCUCACCUGUAUAAGAUUAUUAUUUUUUUCAUAUCCAUUUUAUCCAUUACCACAUGAGAAAGAUAGUAUGGGUAUUUUGGUAAUUCCUACUUAAAUGGUGGUGAAAGCAGAAAACUUAAAUGACUUCCUUAAUAGGAUAGAGUGAUCAAGCACUUUUAAUACUUGGGCAUUACACUAUCAGAAGGAGAUGGGUUAUAUAAUUCCUUCCUUAUGGAAGAAAUGAGAAAUCACAAUGGCAAAAAAAGCAGUAUUUAAUUUUAAGUAUAGCUUACUACUGCCUAAAAAUAUUCUUUAAAUAUUUUUAAAUCUUAUUCCUAGUGAUAUGAAAAUUGAUCAUCACUUUUCCUUAUUUUAUUAAUUUGUAAAAUAGUAGAUUUCUAGCUACAUAUGUAAAAUUAUUGUGACAGGCAUUUAAAGGGAUAAAGUGAAGUUCUAUUCAUCAAAAUCUAGUAUUAUAUUUUAUCAUGUUAAUUAGAUAUAAACAUUUUAAACAGUUUUAAAAAUUCCUAAUCCAAUUUUAAUAAAAAUGACUAUAUUAAUAAUCUCAUUGACAAUGGGGUAUCAGUGAAGAAAUC
rnacentral:lncRNA from 1 species